rnacentral:lncRNA from 1 species
CGAGAAAUCUAUCGUAAUCCUAUAAAAUGCUUCAUUUGUAACAGAUUUGGCCACAAAGCUUGCUCUUGUAAAGGUCCUCUUCCUGACAGUCUUAGGAAGGUUUGGAGACGAGGUCCAAUCGCAAUGCAUACCAGACACCAUUUCCCACCAGAAAGGCAGCGAUCCUCCUUAAAAUCGACAACCAACCAAAAUACCCCACCAACUUCACAAUCUCAAGGCUUUGAGGUGUGUAAAGCCUUUGUUACUGUCUCCUCCUAAAUGGAGGAAACAGAGUUGUGCUUAGAUCGUGUCGCAUUCAUCGAAGCCUAUGGAAGAUAGGUCCAAGAAGACAAUGUUUAGGAUGCACUAGAUCGGAAGGCGAACAUUGCGGGCACCUGGACUACACAGAGACCGACUGGAUCCAAUACUUUUUUCAUUGCCUGCCCUGAUAGAAGCAUCGUCCAUCAACUCAUGAUAGGAGGCC